AGCCUCAGCCUCUCCCACCACGAGGGGUCCCUCAGUCCCCCCCCCCCCCAGGAGCCCGCCGCCCAGGUCCCAGGACGCCCCGCAGAACAGCUGGGGCCGGGAUGUGCCGAGGCGCGUGGCCGGGCCUUCCAGCUUCAGCGGCGGGUCGGGGGGAAGAGUGCGCAGCCGCGUUCCUGCGGGUCCUACUGGGUGGCUGGGGACGCACGCAACGGCUGCCGGAUAAUGGCAGCAGGCCUCCAGUAAUGGUGCCAGGCUCCUCUUGGCUGUGGCAGUUUCCCAGACUUGUUUUUGAUGACCUCAACAACCCUGCUCAGCCAUCUUUCAUUUCUGAUUUUAUCCUGGAAAUGAGUCACAGGCUCCCUCUCCUCCCAGUCCUUCCUGCUUAACGUGAAACAGGAGCCUGACCUCAUCUUCAGUCUUACACUAAGUGUUUAUCAAAAAUGUAUACCCAGUACCAGCUAAACCGCCUGUCCUAUAUUUAAAUCCCUCCAGAGUCAA